rnacentral:lncRNA from 1 species
AUAAAUCUAUAAUUUUAUUAGCGUCUGCCUCAUUGAAACCUUCCAUCUCAUAGAAGUAAAAGAGUACAAUCAUUCUCUAGAAAAGUAGAAAUACAAAAAGAAGAAAAUAUAGAGAAAGGGAAAAAAUACAAAUACUACAUUACAUGCCAUGCUUUGGAUUUCUAGAAAUCCAUCAACCUUUCCCUGCAGCCACAGCUAUAGCCAACGUGUCGGUCGCGUUCGCUGCCUCUUUCACGUGUGUCGUUACGUGCAACUUAUUACCGCAUUGUUUGCACUUUGCAAAAAGCUGGCCGAGACCAUCCUUACCUCUAAUUAUUUCUUCAUCGUAGAAACUCCAAAUUGCACCCUGACCCCGACCGCGCCUCACAACACCAUCAAGCCAGUUUUUAUUUGCAUCGGCCAUGUUUGUGUGUGUACA